rnacentral:rRNA from 1 species
GACGAAGGAUGCAAGCGUUAUCCGGAUUCAUUGGGUUUAAAGGGAGCGUAGGUGGCCUUAUAAGUCAGUGGUGAAAUCUCUCGGCUUAACUGAGAAAUUGCCAUUGAUACUGUAGGGCUUGAGUACAGUUGCUGUGGGCGGAAUAUGACAUGUAGUGGUGAAAUACAUAGAGAUGUCAUAGAACACCGAUUGCGAAGGCAGCUCACAAAGCCACUAUUGACGCUGAGGCACGAAAGCGUGGGGAUCAAACAGG